UACAGCCUAAAUAUGUUACACUCCUAGACAAUGAAGAUGGUUUCAUGGUAGAUUGAUCACUCAUCUGGAGACAUAGCAUAUACAGACUAGAUAUGUUACACUCCUUGACAAUGAAGAUGCUUUCAUGGUAUAUAGCACACGAAGAUACAUAUCAUAUACAGCCUAAAUAUGUUACUCUUCGACAAUGAGAUGGUUUCAUUGUAUAUAGCACAUUAGGAUUAGUUACAUAUAGCCUAAAUAUGUAAGACUCCUAUACCAUGAAAGAUGCUUCCAUUGCAGAUAGCAUAUUAGGAUUAGUCACAUAUAGCCUAAAUAUGUAAGACUCCUAUGCCAUGAAAGAUGCUUCCAUUGCAGAUGCACAUUAGGAAUAGUCACAUAUUAUACAGCCUAAAUAUGUAACACUCCUAUACCAUGAAAGAUGCUGUCAUUGUAGAUAGCACAUUAGGAUGUUGCACAUAUACAGCCUAAAUAUGUUGCACUCCUAGACAGAAGAAGAUGGAUUCAUGGCACAUAGGAAGAGUCAACAUCCCAGAUAUGUUCCACUCCCACACAAUGUAGAUGGUUUCAUGGUAGAUGGCACAUUAGGAUGUUUAACAUAUACAGCCUAAAUAUGUUACACUCCUAGACAAUGAAGAUGGUUUCAUGGUAGAUUGAUCACUCCUCUGGAUACAUAGCAUAUACAGACUAGAUAUGUUACACUCCUUGACAAUGAAGAUGCUUUCAUGGUACAUAGCACACAAAGAUACAUAUCAUAUGCUACUUAUAUGAUAUUUCAGUAGUAGAAGGUGCAGCAUGGCAGCAAUAUGAUAUUUCAAUAGUAUAAGGUGCAGCAUGGCAGCAGAAGAUGUUACAUGGAGAAUCGUGAAGAGACAGUUUAAUUCUUUAGAGGAUAAAUAAUAUUAUAGUUUAUAGAUUUAUAGUUUAUAAAUUCUUUAAAGUUCAAAAUAUCAGAUGAGAAUUUGCCAAGUGCCCUCAAUAUGUCUACAAUGAUAUAACAUUCAUAAUUACGAAUGUAUUGUAAACCUCUUUUUCAAUAUUCAUAUUAAAGGAAGUAGAUUGUCAAUUUCGAUAUUUACUUAUUUACCUUAAAUUUUAUUAAGUAAUUGGAACAAUAUGUCUUUAUUUAGAUUGUUUGAAAUUCAAGUUCAAAAUGUAUUUACAUCAGAUAGUUUGGGUUUGCCAGCAACUUCAGUUGUAUUAUAGUAUAGCCAAAAGAUCAUUUGUUGGUUGUAAAUAAUGCCAGCUUUGAAUAAGAUUUUAAAAUAGAAACUAUCUUCAAAUUUGACAAGUUACCAUAUCUACAUAUGAAUAAAUUAGAAUAGUCUGUAAAUAUUCUGUAUUUUCCUUUUUGCAUCAUCUUUUGAGUAACCAAAUCAGAACACCCAAUUUUGUGAAAUACUUUUUCCUGUUAUAUCUAUCAUUGCUUUUGUAAGAUAAAAAGAAAAAUGUAUAUGCAGUUUUGUUUAAUAUAUUUAAAUUAAAAAAUUCAAUUUCAAAUUAACACAAACAAAAUUUACUUUAACUUAUGGUUUAGUUCAUGCACCCUUUAAUGUAUAUCUUAAAAGUUUUGUUGUGGACUAAGCAAAUAUC